rfam:Equus caballus chromosome 7, whole genome shotgun sequence.
GGUAACCACUAAUCUGUUCUUUUUACCACUCCAUAUGCUUCCUUCUCAAAGUUGCGCACUUGUUGGAAGAGGAUGACCUUCCCCAAUAUAGGAGGACUCUUUUUCUGUCAAGGGUAUGUGAGUAGUUGCUCUCUCCUGCUACACCCUCCGCACAACCACUCAAGGUCCAUUUGUAGGAGAACAUAGGGUACUCAAAUACUUUUGUAACUGCCUGAUUCUCUGUAUUCCCUGUAAGGGAAGGUAGCGUGUACCU